rnacentral:lncRNA from 1 species
UACUCUUAUUUUAGAUAAAUUCUAAUAAGCUAUUUGUUACCCCUUCUAGCACAGGUUGGAACUGCAAUGAAGAGGAUAUGCUUAUAGCACUAAGAAGCUAGUUGACCAUCUGGCAGUGGAGGAGGACACAGCAGACCCAGCUGCAAUUCCAUGUGAAUUUUAAGGCACCUAAUAUACUGUCUAAAGAUGCAUACAAACCACAGCCAGAGCAGGUCAGAAUCUGAGCGCCAGGUCUGCUAGAAGGGAGGAACAGAGCUUUGGACUCCAAAUAAUCACUUACCAGGAGGGUCUUCCAGUCUGGAAAUGGUGAGAGA